GGGGAUUUAGCUCAGUGGUAGAGCGUUUGUCUAGCAAGUGCAAGGCCCUGGGUUCGGUCCCCAGCUCCG
rnacentral:tRNA from 1 species